rnacentral:rRNA from 1 species
UACGGGGGGGGCAAGCGUUGUUCGGAAUUACUGGGCGUAAAGGGCGCGUAGGCGGUCACUACAAGUCAGUUGUGAAAUCUCUGGGCUUAACUCAGAACGGUCAACUGAUACUGUCGGACUAGAGUGCAGAAGGGGCAACUGGAAUUCUCGGUGUAGCGGUGAAAUGCGUAGAUAUCGAGAGGAACACCUGCGGCGAAGGCGGGUUGCUGGGCUGACACUGACGCUGAGGCGCGAAAGCUAGGGGAGCGAACGGG